UAGGAUUAGAUACCCUAUUAUAAGAUUCCCUAAAUGGUAAUAUUAAUUUAAAAACCAAACCAUAGUGGCGGCCUUUUAAGACAAUUAGAGGAACUUGUUUUAUAAUCGACACCACCCGAUCUUUCUCACUAUUUUUUAAAGCCCUCAUACCUCCGUAUUGCCCCCCCUUGAGGGAGAUAAAAUUAAUUAAAGUUAUUAAUUCAGGUCAAGGUGAAGCCAAUAAAAUAGAAAAAAUGAGUUACUUAUAAACACUAUUUAAGAAUGGUUAUAUAAAAAUGUUUCCUGAAAAAGGAUUUAAUAGUAAAUUUAGAUUAAAAUUCCAAAUUGAAAAAAAUCUAAGGUGCACACAUCGCCCG
rnacentral:rRNA from 1 species